UACGUAGGGUGCAAGCGUUAAUCGGAAUUACUGGGCGUAAAGCGUGCGCAGGCGGUUAUGUAAGACAGAUGUGAAAUGCCCGGGCUUAACCUGGGAACUGCAUUUGUGACUGCAUGGCUAGAGUUUGGCAGAGGGGGGUAGAAUUCCACGUGUAGCAGUGAAAUGCGUAGAUAUGUGGAGGAACACCGAUGGCGAAGGCAGGUCUCUGGGCCACUACUGACGCUGAGGCACGAAAGCAUGGGGAUCAAACAGG
rnacentral:rRNA from 1 species